GGACCUAGCGGCGGACGGGUGAGUAAUGCUUAGGAAUCUGCCUAUUAGUGGGGGACAACAUCUCGAAAGGGAUGCUAAUACCGCAUACGUCCUACGGGAGAAAGCAGGGGAUCUUCGGACCUUGCGCUAAUAGAUGAGCCUAAGUCGGAUUAGCUAGUUGGUGGGGUAAAGGCCUACCAAGGCGACGAUCUGUAGCGGGUCUGAGAGGAUGAUCCGCCACACUGGGACUGAGACACGGCCCAGACUCCUACGGGAGGCAGCAGUGGGGAAUAUUGGACAAUGGGGGGAACCCUGAUCCAGCCAUGCCGCGUGUGUGAAGAAGGCCUUAUGGUUGUAAAGCACUUUAAGCGAGGAGGAGGCUACUUUAGUUAAUACCUAGAGAUAGUGGACGUUACUCGCAGAAUAAGCACCGGCUAACUCUGUGCCAGCAGCCGCGGUAAUACAGAGGGUGCGAGCGUUAAUCGGAUUUACUGGGCGUAAAGCGUGCGUAGGCGGCUUAUUAAGUCGGAUGUGAAAUCCCCGAGCUUAACUUGGGAAUUGCAUUCGAUACUGGUGAGCUAGAGUAUGGGAGAGGAUGGUAGAAUUCCAGGUGUAGCGGUGAAAUGCGUAGAGAUCUGGAGGAAUACCGAUGGCGAAGGCAGCCAUCUGGCCUAAUACUGACGCUGAGGUACGAAAGCAUGGGGAGCAAACAGGAUUAGAUACCCUGGUAGUCCAUGCCGUAAACGAUGUCUACUAGCCGUUGGGGCCUUU
rnacentral:rRNA from 1 species